rnacentral:tRNA from 1 species
GGGGCAUGGCGGAAUGGUAGACGCGUCGGACUUAAAAUCCGGCGGUAGCAAUACCGUGAGGGUUCAAGUCCCUCUGCCCCC